UGUUACCACCACUGAGGAUGACAACGUUUCGGAUUUAUUAUUGACACCGUUUUCAAGGUUCACUUUUGACAAAAAGUUGGUGUUAAUCGGAAGAGGAAGACCCACAACAGAGCUUAAUUUGGUGCAGAAAACCAAAGCUUUUGAAAGGCAUUUCAACUCCAGCAAUUAUACGCAAUACCCAUGAAUGACAGGAUCAACCAAGGAGCAGAAGCUUUACUGCUGGGAUUGUUUGCUUUUUGAUGUGGAGACUGGAUCCUGGGCCAAAGAUGGAUUUUCUGAUUUAGGAAGUUUAUCCAAGUCAGCCCAUCGCCAUCAAAACACUUCAAGUCAUCCGAAAGCUACUAUUCUUAUUUGGGGGCGUUAUUGCUAGCAUCAUAACAGAUAGCAUGAAGGAGGAGGUGAGGAAUGCACCUUUUGUGGCUGUUAUGUUGGAUGAAACAACAGACAUUAGCAACAUGGCCCAGAUGUCAUAUGUGCUUCGCUAUGUCACUGAAGAUGGGGUGAAAGAGCAUUUUUUUCAAGUAUGAAGAUGUGACAGAGGACAGACGAGCAGAAGCCAUAGUUGCUGGAGUUCUUGAGGGGUUGUGGCUGUGUUGACAAAAUGAUUGCUCAGUGCUAUGAUGGUUUGAACGGGGUGCAAGCGAAAGUGAAGGAAACCAUUCCACAGGCCCUCUUCGUUCACUGCUAUGCCCACACUCUAAAUCUUGUCAUGGCACGGAACAGGAAGCCUCCAAGAUAAGAGAGUGCAAGGUCUUCUUUUCACACCUCUCCGACUUGGCUGCCUUUUUCAUCCACUCAGCAAAGUACACCAAGCUGCUGGAUGAUAUUUGGCAGUGUAGGCUUCCACAAGUAGCUCCUACCCACUGGUGCUUAAAUUCUCAUUUGGUGUGCACAGUGGCAACGGAGACCAGGGAAUUGAGAGAGGUAGGAUGAUAAAAAUAAUAAUAAUAAUGAUUAAGAAAUUGGAUAUUGUGGGGGAAUACCAACACACAAACCAUGUUAAGAACUAAUGAUAAAAAAUAAAAAGGUAAAUAAUCUCAGUGUUUAUUGGAGGUCUAUAAUUGUUUCCAUAAGAUAAAAGCCAUGUAACACUCCUAGUGUUCGAGCACAUCGUAGACCACCACACAGAGUUUGAUGAUGACACUGUCCACUGCGCUGAUGGAUACAUCACCCUCCUUGCCAGCUUCGGUUUCUGUUUUUGGGUGAAAACCUCCCAUGUCAUCUUUUCAUACUCAGAUGUUGUCUAUGGAAGUUUCGAAAACAAAGGUUUCGAUAUCCAGUUCUGCCUGGCCAGAGUGGAUGAGCUUCACAGAACAAUUGAAAAGGAGAAAGAGAAGUUUGACAGGGUCUACAAAGAAACCCAGGCUUUGGUUGGCGCUUUGCGUGUCCAUGGGCUCAAGGAGACAUUGAUAGCCCCCUAUACCAGAUUGCUUUAGUAACCACAAAAAGCUGGCAUUCCUGGCCCCUCUUGACCCACAGCAGUUUGGGUGUUACAGUGACCAUUUUAUCAAUGCUGUCUUUUCAAGUUUGAUGGACAGCUAUGGUGCAUAUUUCGACCAGCCCUGUCUCUACACUGAACUCACUGUCAUGUAAAACAUGUAUGACUUUGCGGGUAAGAGGCCAGCCGACAUCCAUCAGUUUCUCCUCAAAAAAGAACUGAAAGAAAGCACAAGUGUACACCGUCACAUGCCUCACACUGACAAUCCCUGUGUCCACUGCCUCUGGGGAGAGGUCAUUCUCUGCACUGAAAAACCUACUCGAGGAACAUGACUGGGCAGGUGUGAAUGUCAGACUUGGCCUUAAUAUCCACCGAGAAUGAACUGCUGAUGAAAUUAAAAGCAAAGGAUCAGAUGCAUGACCCCACCAUCAACUACUUCAUCCAGAAGGACAGUAGGAUGGAUUUCAUUUUCAAAUAAUCAUCAAAGGAUUGCACCAUCCGUUCUGCAAAAUGUCUCCAGGUUCUCCAGGUGACAACAAUGACAAAACCACUGAGCUGGCAGCCCUUCAUCAGAUGGAAAAUCAUGAAGACCUGGCCAGAUCACUGAGGUCCUCCACUGCUUUUCUAUUUGAUGUUCCUUAUGUGCCCCAUAAAAGUACCGGUGAGGCUGCUUCUGUUUUUAUGCCCCUAAACUGUGGAACAGACUGUCUCUGGAUAUUGGACUGGCAGCUCUCUCCGUAGUUUUAAAAGGAAAUUAAAGACCUAUCUUUUUAAUCUUUAGUUUAGAGUAAUGUUAUAGCCUUAGUUUUUAACUUUUAAUAAUUGGUUUCUAUAUUAUUUUUA